rnacentral:piRNA from 1 species
UGGUGCAUUAGUGAAUUCCUAAGGAU